GUGAUUUUGGACCGGUUGGUUGGAGCAUGGCGCUGAUAAUGCCAAGGUUGCAGGUUCGAUCCCCGUAUGCGACA